GACAGUACGAAAUAUUAUUUUGUGUAAUAAUAACGUACCUCGUAAAAUGCCACGAAAGGUUUCACGAUUUCACUGGGAAUUGGCGGAAAUAAUACAGAAAACAGCGAAGAUAAUUGACAUUCAUGACAUCGAGUACGUUAUACAAUACGGGUGUGACGAUGUCGAUACUUUCUUUAGUAAUACGUACCUAGUCGACAUCAGUGGCAAGAGAAAUGGAUCAAAAAUAAAGAAGAAGAUUUUAAUAAAGUGUCAUUUAGAUCUAAAUCAGCGUGCGAAUUUCAGAGAACUUUACAAAAGAGGUCACGUGUUUUAUAACGCCAUAGUUCCCAAGUUGCUUGAGAUCCAAAGAACGUUUAAAGUGAUUGAAGGAUUGAAAAUGAAAUUUCCGAAUUGUAUUUAUAGCAGUGAUGAAUAUAACAAAGAAGUGAUGGUUUUAUCACAAAUGCUGGAUGAGUAUAAUAUACAUAACAGAUUUCUUUCGAUUAGCAUCGAUCAUGCUAAAUUGACUCUAAUAAAUAUGGCUAAACUACAUGCCCUGUCUUUUGUAUGGGAAACAUAUUAUUCGGGAGAAUUUGAUAAGAUUAAGACUAUAUUGAGCAAAAAUGUGCAAUAUUCAGACCUUGUUAAACUACCAAACUCUAUGAAAUAUUGUUAUGAUACUUCAGUUAACGUAGUGACGAAUUCAUCGUAUAAAGAAAACUUAAGGGCGCUUGAUAGACAUAUAUUGGCUAUUUUGAAAACACCCCCACCGCUUCAGUACAGUACUAUUUGUCACGGAGACUGUUGGAUUAAUAACAUACUUUUUAAAAAUCAGGGGACGAGACCGGUAGAAGUAAUGUUCGUCGACUAUCAGCUGAGCCGGUACGCGUCUCCGGUCUCGGAUAUAUCAUACUUCCUAUACAUGUCAACGGAGCGGGAGUUACUCUCUCAACAUUACGAAACCCUUAUCAAUGUUUACUAUGGAACGCUAGCAGGAGUCCUUCGGCAAUGCAAUCUUAAAAUAGAAGAAGUCUAUCCAGAAACAAUAUUUAGACAGCAUCUUAAAGAAUACUCAGUUUUAGGUUUAAUAGAAGCCUUAGUCUCGAUGAAAAUUAUAACAGCGGACAAUGAUGAUGCAAUAAAAAUGACGGAAAUGAGAUACAAUCAGUCUGAUGUUGAACAUGCUGGCAUAGACGAGCACAAGUUCAACGAUCAGAAUCUAUUUAUUGAAAGGGUAAACGCGAUUGUGAACUCGUUUUUCCAAAUGGAUUACUCAUUAACGUCAGUGAUUAAUUUAGACAAAUGAUUGUGAAUUAAUUUCCUAAAGAACCUUGU